rnacentral:lncRNA from 1 species
AGAAGAGUUGACUUAACUCCCCGAAGGUGGCGCUGAAUUCGCUCAUUGCCUUGGUGCUUCCACUGUCACUGCUCUCGUAUUAUUUGGUCCGUGGUCUACGGGAGAUCGUCUUUUGUCGUAUCGGCACGUUCGGCACAGUUCACUCGCUCCCCUCUUCGCCGCGUCACUCGGCCGACAAAUCAGCAACGUGACUGACGACGAAGAAUAGACAACGUUAGCGAAAACUACCGAGACUUUCUCCAGUAAUCCAAAUAAUCAAACGAAUAAGCAGCUAGUCACACGGAUGAUCGAUUCACACGCAAUGAUUACAUCGCAGUUGGCGAUCGGAAAGCGUUCAUGGCUGCUGUAUACAUUUCGAACAAGAGACCCAUCUACUUAUGUCUCUGAAUCGCUGUCAUGAAUUAAAUAUCAAAGGAAUUUCCCCUUUGACGUGAUUCGUCCAACGUGCGUCAAGGUUAGGUUAGGUUAGGUCAGGUUAAACUGACGGACUUCACGGCGGUAGUACUAAAAUAUCGCGGCAGGUAACGCCAGAUGAAAAGAGUGUGAGAGACUCGAUCGGUAACGACGGAUUAGUCGGCGUCCGACCGUGCGGGUCAGCGGUAAGAUUAAGCGAAGUAAGAUUAAUAUAAACGGGAAAAUUUAAAUGUAUUAAGUUGAAAGUAGUGAAAAUGUGGCAUGUUCCUAGUGAUUUCUGUCUGCCUUUUAUGUGCGGAGUUUGUGUAUCUUCAGUGGAAAAUAUUGUGUUUGUGAACAAGAGGAUGAUCACCGCUCACCGAUAAGUCGGAGCCCGAAAAAAGCGGCAACGCUCUGACAUUCGGAAGAAAUAAUCAUCCCUCGCAUCGUUGAAGCGUGUAGAGAAAGAACAGAUCUUCACUCCCACUCACCUCGUCCUGGGUGUAAAAACUAGCCAAUCUCUGAUUCCGCUGCAUAAUUGGGUCGUAGUCGAUGCUACCACAGGGUGGAGAAUCGUCAGGACCAGUCACCGUAACUGGAAUAGGCGUAGGCGGUGUUGGCGGUAUUUGCAUCUGCAGACCACCCGUGGAAGAUGCCAAACUCGAUCCAGAACUGGUGGCCAAAGAGCUGCUCGAGUCGUCUCUGAUUCCUGAGAAGAUUCCCGAACUUGCCCGCUCUGAAAGACGCUUAAUUUUUACCGAUUGAUACGGUAAUAUCAUCUCGGCACUUGACGUCGACCUCGUCCAGUCGCGUGCCAUUACUACAGUUCAGUGUGUCACCACAGAUUCAAUUAAACCAAGUGGAUCUCAAUUGGGGUUAAUUAAAUUUUCUCCGCUCGUUUUGUCACGCCUAGACAAUACUGUAAUUAACUCCUACCAUUCUAAUUACUCCAAGUUUCUUUAUCAGGCACGAUAAAUGCCCAAUGACCAAUUAAUCCCUGA